GCUGCGGGCGGGGCGGAAGGGGGAGAGAGGGAGGCCCCUGGGCUGAUUGGACGGAGCUGACCGCUCCAUUGGGUACCCCGUCUGUCAAUCUGCACCCCGCUCGCUCUGAUUGGCUGGAGGCCCUGCUACUCCUUUGACGUCGCUUUUCCAAUUCUGGUUGUAAUUGGUCUUUUUCGCUUGGAGCGUGCUGAUUGGCUUCUCGCCACGUCCGUCUCCACGUCGAUUGGGCAGUUCCUCCGUCGGUCUCGGGAUCGGGCUGGAGGGGGUUGAGGAGGCGGGUUGGGAUUGGCCGGUCAGGGCGUUGGUGGCUUGCGAUUGGCUAGAACCGCCUUCAGUCAGUUGGAGGGGAAGCGGCAGUUGGGACCUGAAGAGCCGCGCCCCAGCGUGGGAGAAAUGCGCAAGCGGGCUCUGCCCUGGGGGAUGAUGGGAAACGUAGUUCUUGGCUAGCAGAGGCCAGGGGUUGCCCCGCCUGUAUCUCUGCUGUGGCUGGAUAGGACACGGACCGCCGCCUGUCUCAAACCUGUGACGUCACUGCGCGGGGUGUGACAUCACACUGCGCUUCAAAACCCAGUGAUGUCACUGGCGCAGCACUGGGUGCUCCAUGGCACUGCACAAGCGUGCACCCGACAUAGCGCAGAGCCCUCGAGCUGUGCCCCCAGCAUGCCCAGGCUCAGUGAGAUGCAUUGGCACAGCUGCUGCUCGGAUCACAAAUCGGCAGGGAGGUGCUCCUGGGACAUUACAUCCCGCACAGCACAAGUUGUAGGGAGGCAAGCUUCCCUACAGCUGCUCCCCACAUGCCAGACUACACACCUGGCCAGGUGCACUCUUUUUUCCUGACUACCUCUGAGGCAUGAAGAGGAAGGAUGGUGCCAUGGCUAGGACACUAGCUGGGGUCUUGGGAGAUCUAGCUUCAAUUUCCUGCUUUGCUACAGACUCCCUGUGUGACCAAGGGCAACUCACUAGGCCCCUCUGGGCCUCAUUUCCCCAUCUGUAAAAUGGGGUUAAUCACACAGCCCAGGCUCACGGGGGUGUUGUGCAAAUCAAUGUGUUAAAAGCUUGUGAGGUGCUCAGAUGCUAUGGUGAAGAAGGUCCCAUACAAGAAUCUUAGACAGAUAAUUGGUCUCGACCUUCAGAAGAGUCUAUUUGAUGGCCCGCUGGUCUUUCCUCGAAUGGUCAGGAGCCAAUUUAGAAAAUAAGAAAAAAGUAAGGAUGUUAUUAUGGUAGUGCCCAGGAGCCACAGCCAUUGUCCAGGAGCCCAUCAUGCUGGGUGCUAUACAAACAGAGAACAAAAAGAGGGUCCCCUCCCCAAAGAGCGUGCUCUCUCUUACCCUCUCAAGAUACCAGAACACGAUUCCACUCUAUGGUGCUCCUCUGUCUCCCUUUCUGGCAAGCUUUGAAAUAGUUAGGAUGCUGAUGCCUUAAGAACCACUAUUAGGUUUCAAAGUGAACGUCCCAUUGACACAGACACGCUUCUCAAAGCCACAGGGCCAGAUUCUGACUUGCCUGCCCCUUGUGCAGUCAUUAGUACUGGUGCCUGGUGGCUGCUAUCCGACUGUAUUGACUUACUUUGCACCUGUAUAAAGGACUAAAUAAACAAAUUUUGGACAGUGGACAAUCAGCUUCUCUGCAGCCAUCACUGUAUCGUUUUCCUGUUAGGCUCUAUGCUGCUGCCCAUCACCAUCGCCCUAGUGUCUGACCACAUUCCAAUGGUUUUUUCUCUGCUAUCAUUUAUUUUUUAAAAAUCAUGAGAACCGAGAUCUUGGAGCAUGAGAUAGCAGCCUCCAGAAAGCAUGACGGGGAGGGUGAUCCAGCCCAGUUCCUCACCUGGGAAUGGCAGGUCCUAUGUGCCAAUGUGCUUUAGUCAGGCCCAGAGGGACCCCUCUCUUGCCAUCUCAUAGAUUUUUGUUUCUGAGCCUGUGCAAUCCCCUGCCUGUUGGAUGAAACUGACAAAGAAGGAAACCUGUUUCUUAGAUUCCCAAGAUCCCUGAAUUGAUACUUAAGGUCUAGUAUUCAGAUAAAAAUCUAGCAUAGUUACCAAAUUCAUGUAGCUUGGGUUGUGCUUUCCAAGGGAAGAGAUGGCUCAGAGCACUCAAGCAGUAGGUGUGAAACUUCCUGCUAUCACAGGUUCAAAUCCCCCUAGGGACAGCUCCAGCCUUCAAUUUAAAUUGAGUUGCUGGGUCAGACUUUCUCUGUUAUGAUGGUGUAAAUCAGGAGUGACUCCUGCGAAGCUGAUGCAGCUAUGCUAGGAUGAGAUCUGCACUUCUUGUGGAACUCGCUUUUAAAAAUAGACUCUUCAGUGGAUGUCAGAGGCCUGAGGGCACUUGCGAGAAGAAUAAGAAACUUCAAAAGAGACAUGGUGGCGCUGUUCCUCCCCAGCACGGGGAGCGUCCCCCCUCAAGGAGAGCAUGGACUGUGGCUGAGUUUGGAAAUACGAGUUGCUAUCUGGCAGGGCAGGGUGUGCUCCAGCCGGGGUUAUCUCUGCACCGCAGGCUGGCAUGCUGGCAUUUUCCGCACAGCCCACGGCCUCUCACAUCGGAGGAGGAAGGACAUAAUUGAAAGGAGAUAAGCAAAGGUGACCUCGAUAUCCUGAGCAGCCCCCCUGCAGGGCAAGACUCUGCAGAAGCCGCCUCCAGCGAGUGGGAUAACAGCCACCUGCCCGGGACGCGGCCCCACCAAGAGCUCUCCUCCGACUACCACGAGAGGUG